rnacentral:rRNA from 1 species
AGCAGCCGCGGUAAUUCCAGCUCCAAUAGCGUAUAUUAAAGUUGUUGCAGUUAAAAAGCUCGUAGUUGAAUUUCGGGGUUCUACCGUUGGUCGGGCUAUUGUCUGCACUGGCGUGUAGAAUUUCUACCUUCUGGGGAACUAUCAUGUUAUUAAUUUGGCGUGGUAGGAAACCAGGACCUUUACCUUGAAAAAUUAGAGUGUUCAAAGCAGGCUUAUGUCUGAAUACAUUAGCAUGGAAUAAUAAAAUAGGACGGUGGUCCUGUUUUGUUGGUUUCUGAAUCACCGUAAUGAUUAAUAGGGAUAGUUGGGGGCAUUAGUAUUCAAUUGUCAGAGGUGAAAUUCUUGGAUUUAUUGAAGACUAACUACUGCGAAAGCAUUUGCCAAGGAUGUUUUCAUUAAUCAAGAACGAAAGUUAGGGGAUCGAAGACGAUCAGAUACCGUCGUAGUCUU